CGUCGAAGGUAUACCGACAAGGAGUGCUGGAGCGAAUAGAAGUGAGCAUGCAGGCAUGAGUAGCGAUAAUUAAUGUGAGAAUCAUUAACGCCGUAAACCCAAGGUUUCCUACGCGAUGCUCGUCAUCGUAGGGUUAGUCGGGUCCUAAGCUGAGUCCGAAAGGGGUAAGCGAUGGCAAAUAGGUUAAUAUUCCUAUACCAACAUUAGUGUGCGAUGGAAGGACGCUUAGGGCUAAGGGGGCUAGCGGAUGGAAGUGCUAGUCUAAGGUCGUAGGAGGUUAUACAGGCAAAUCCGUAUAACAAUACUCCGAGAACUGAAAGGCUUUUUGAAGUCUUCGGAUGGAAAGAAGAACCCCUGAUGCCGUCGAGCCAAGAAAAGUUUCUAAGUUUAGCUAAUGUUGCCCGUACCGUAAACCGACACAGGUGGGUGGGAUGAGUAUUCUAAGGCGCGUGGAAGAACUCUCUUUAAGGAACUCUGCAAAAUAGCACCGUAUCUUCGGUAUAAGGUGUGCCUCCCUUUGUAUUAGAAUUCACUUCGAAAGCAAAGAAGGUUACAACAAAGAGUCCCUCCCGACUGUUUACCAAAAACACAGCACUCUGCUAACUCGUAAGAGGAUGUAUAGGGUGUGACGCCUGCCCGGUGCUCGAAGGUUAAUUGAUGGGGUUAGCAUUAGCGAAGCUCUUGAUCGAAGCCCGAGUAAACGGCGGCCGUAACUAUAACGGUCCUAAGGUAGCGAAAUUCCUUGUCGGUUAAAUACCGACCUGCAUGAAUGGCGUAACGAGAUGGGAGCUGUCUCAAAGAGGGAUCCAGUGAAAUUGUAGUGGAGGUGAAAAUUCCUCCUACCCGCGGCAAGACGGAAAGACCCCGUGGACCUUUACUACAGCUUGACACUGCUAUUUGGAUAAGAAUGUGCAGGAUAGGUGGGAGGCUUUGAGUAUAUGACGCCAGUUGUAUAUGAGCCAUUGUUGAGAUACCACUCUUUCUUAUUUGGGUAGCUAACCAGCUUGAGUUAUCCUCAAGUGGGACAAUGUCUGGUGGGUAGUUUGACUGGGGCGGUCGCCUCCCAAAUAAUAACGGAGGCUUACAAAGGUUGGCUCAUAGCGGUUGGAAAUCGCUAGUAGAGUAUAAAGGUAUAAGCCAGCUUAACUGCAAGACAUACAAGUCAAGCAGAGACGAAAGUCGGUCUUAGUGAUCCGGUGGUUCUGUGUGGAAGGGCCAUCGCUCAAAGGAUAAAAGGUACCCCGGGGAUAACAGGCUGAUCUCCCCCAAGAGCUCACAUCGACGGGGAGGUUUGGCACCUCGAUGUCGGCUCAUCGCAUCCUGGGGCUGGAGCAGGUCCCAAGGGUAUGGCUGUUCGCCAUUUAAAGCGGUACGCGAGCUGGGUUCAGAACGUCGUGAGACAGUUCGGUCCCUAUCUGCCGUGGGCGUAAGAAGAUUGAAGAGAUUUGACCCUAGUACGAGAGGACCGGGUUGAACAAACCACUGGUGUAGCUGUUGUUCUGCCAAGAGCAUCGCAGCGUAGCUAAGUUUGGAAAGGAUAAACGCUGAAAGCAUCUAAGCGUGAAGCCAACUCUAAGAUGAAUCUUCUCUAAGCUCUCUAGAAGACUACUAGUUUGAUAGGCUGGGUGUGUAAUGGAUGAAAGUCCUUUAGCUGACCAGUACUAAUAGAGCGUUUGGCUUAUCUUAUAAA
rnacentral:rRNA from 1 species